rnacentral:misc_RNA from 1 species
GAUGAAGAACGUAGCGAAAUGCGAUAAGUAAUGUGAAUUGCAGAAUUCAGUGAAUCAUCGAAUCUUUGAACGCACAUUGCGCCCGCCAGUAUUCUGGCGGGCAUGCCUGUUCGAGCGUCAUUUCAACCAUCAAGCCCCAGGCUUGUGUUGGGGACCUGCGGCUGCCGCAGUCCCUGAAAACCAGUGGCGGGCUCGCUGUCACACCGGGCGUAGUAGAUUUUAUCUCGCUCAGGGCGUGCUGCGGGUUCCGGCCGUUAAAAAGCCUUUUUUACCCAAGGUUGACCUCGGAUCAGGUAGGAAGACCCGCUGAACUUAAGCAUAUCAAUAAGCGGAGGA